rnacentral:lncRNA from 1 species
CCUUCAUCUAUACCGAACUCGAAAGUAGGGGGCAUGUAUUGGGAGAAAAUUUAUCACUUGGGCCAAAGAUAUGGAUUAACAGAAGGACAGAUGAUAUGAUAUGCAUGAUCGAUGUCACAACACGAUCAGGAAGGAAAGUGUGCGAUUCUAAAGGAAUAUAUUUCUGUUAUAUCAUAUAAGAAUCAUCUGAAGUCAUCCAAUGCAUAACCCAGGAUCUCCUGAUCCUAGCUUUAGACCCUGACGAUCCUUGGCCUCUAGUGAUCCCCCUAAGCAAAACACUCAGGACCAGCCGAUCCUGACUUUGGCCUCAAGCCUGUCUCAAUCUCCAUGACAGUCAACAUCCGAUAUCUAUCUGACAUCUGUAAGCAAUUGGACACCUGAAUUGGCCAAUCUCAGACUUCAGCCAUAAAUAUACUUCAGUCCUCACCAGUCUUAUCCCACUGAACGCAGUUGGCUCCAGCCGCUUCUUCCCUUUGGCAUACGUCUCCAUCAGGCCACACCAAAAUCUCUACAGAUGAAGGUGAUUUGAUCCCAUCAGCGCCCUCAUUUCAAAAUUCAAAAGUGCCCGUGAUAUUUAGCUGGCUCCGAAAUAGAUAAGAUAGGUGUAGCAAUCCGAUCUUGAAAGUCUUGACCAAAAAUCCCAC